AUACCGGAACUAUAAGGUCAAGCUCCAUAAAGGGUGGCUAGAUCACCGUAGAGACAUAGAAGAGGAGCUUGUUCUUUGGAUCCAGGAUUGUCCUCUGAGUAUGUGGGAGGGGAUGGCCAGGCAUUGGAGGGGCCAAGAGUUCUAGAUUUAAUUUGUAACAUAUGAAUUUUUCAUUACAUUGACAAUUGUAUUUGAUUUUUAACUUAUGUGAUUUAAAUACUUUUUAGACUGUAUCUCGUCAGAACCGUG
rnacentral:lncRNA from 1 species